UGGGGAAUCUUGCGCAAUGGGCGAAAGCCUGACGCAGCCAUGCCGCGCGAAUGAUGAAGGUCUUAGGAUUGUAAAAUUCUUUCACCGGGGACGAUAAUGACGGUACCCGGAGAAGAAGCCCCGGCUAACUUCGUGCCAGCAGCCGCGGUAAUACGAAGGGGGCUAGCGUUGCUCGGAAUUACUGGGCGUAAAGGGAGCGUAGGCGGACAUUUAAGUCAGGGGUGAAAUCCCGGGGCUCAACCUCGGAAUUGCCUUUGAUACUGGGUGUCUUGAGUGUGAGAGAGGUAUGUGGAACUCCGAGUGUAGAGGUGAAAUUCGUAGAUAUUCGGAAGAACACCAGUGGCGAAGGCGACAUACUGGCUCAUUACUGACGCUGAGGCUCGAAAGCGUGGGGAGCAAACAGGAUUAGAUACCCUGGUAGUCCACGCCGUAAACGAUGAUUGCUAGUUGUCGGGAUGCAUGCAUUUCGGUGACGCAGCUAACGCAUUAAGCAAAUCCGCCUGGGGAGUACGGUCGCAAGAUUAAAACUUAAAGGAAUUGAC
rnacentral:rRNA from 1 species